ensembl:lncRNA
AAUUAUUUGUUGCAAACAAUUUCACAACAAGUUAAAGCCAUGUGACAAAUACUUGAAAAAAAAAGCUUUUUUUUCAAAAUGGCGACUUUUCUGUUGGUAUAUCUCCAUAGCAACCAUUUUAUGCUUGGGUUGCCUGGGGGUGUCGAACAAGUUGAUGUAAUUUUUGGAAGAAUUGGCAAGACUAAACAUUGAGAUUUCCUUGGCAACUGAGGUUUUUGUCAAACAUGCCCACAUUCCUGAUAUGUUCAUAGCGUAUGUCAUAUUGCUUUGUUUCGCUUUUCUGAGCUUGCCACACUAAGGCCAUUAAAAAUCUUCAACUUCUAACUGAAAACAAUUUUUUUAAGUAUCUUACCAAUAAUGCUCGAAGCGUUAGGAGGCGAUAGGCAAAAAUCCCUAGGAGGUGUUUCAAUUUGUAGCUGAUCCUCAUUUUUUUUUUUUUUUCAAUUCAAGAUAGUGGCCUAUUUUUGAGGAUGAAGAUCAACAAAACUUUGAUCGUGGACUAAUGCUGGCGGCAUGUGUGUGAAGCUCCAGAAAAAUCACAAUGUUUUUUUUUUUUUGUUGGGGGGGGGGGGGGGGGGGGGUUCACACUUUGUCACGAUCUCUGAUACAUGCGUUUUAACUUUUUUAAUUUCAUUUUCUUUACACGUCUCCUUCGUCACCAGAAAAGUGCCACACAAGCAUGUUAAAAACACCAAAAACACAUUUUUCAUCAGAGUGAAGGUCUUUAACUCAGCCAAAGAAGUUCAUCCUAAAUGAAUAUCUGCUCUGCAGUAGGAUUACUUGUCAGUUUGACAAAAUCUCAAUCCAGUGCAGCUGUACAGUAAAACGUAUUAAAGGAAAAGAGCAUGAAAAUGAGCCACUUUAGCUUUUGCAAGCAGUUUUUUUUCCCCUCAAGGAGAAAAACAAUUGUUCAGCUCUCCUUUUUUCCACGGUAAAACAGCACUGUCCAAAAAGCUUGCUGUUAUUAUCUGUAUGAUUAUUAUUUUAUUAACGUUAGUAUCAGAGCCUGCAGACUAUGCUGUAAACACAACAAUGAUACAUUAUGGCCUUGUGUUUUCAUAAAGUUUUUGCAAACAAAUACCUAAUUACGCAUGCUGCAGAUCCACACGGAAUUAUCACUCAUUUGGAGACCCAUUUCUGGCCAAUAUCCACUCACUUUUAGCUCGACUGCAGACUCCAAAACUCCUGAGGGAAAUAUCUGCCUCUUAAUCUGCUAAGUGCUGCAUUAUUAGCUACUCACUAAAUUUGUCUGGUGUUUGAUGGUGGGACGGUUCUUAGCAGAUUCUUUUUUUGUGGUUUGCGAGCUGGAAUAAGACUCUUUUACAUUGUUAGUUGUUGUAAUUUGUCAUUUUUCAGAUUUUAUGGGAUCUUCUUUGCAUUCACACCAAAUGUAGCUCAUGCAUGGACAUUUAUAGAUGCAACCGUAGCAUUUGAAAAAUAAUUAGACUUAGUUUUAUCUUGAUUAGUCCUUAACCUUAUUGUAGUUGUCCAACUUUGAGCAGUUUUCAUAAAAAGGUUUUAAAUCUAAAUUAUUCUGCAACUUUGAAACAUUCUUUUUUAUUUUUAGAAAUAUAUAGUAUUUGACCUAUAGUUUAAAAUACAAUUUUUCAUGCCUUCUGUCCCGGUGUUUGUGCUGAAUUGCUUUGGAAAUUAGCCUUGGACUUAAUAUACAUUCUGUAGGCCUUGAUGGGUUUCCUGCCUGGUUUGAAAUUAGUCUUUUUUUUCCAACAUUGGUUUCUAUUUGUUUGUCAUCCCGCUCCCAGCUUGUGUCUUGGUUUCAAUAGAAAGCAUCGAUCUACAGCUUUUCUAUUGGGAAAUAGGAACUGGUGCACUUGAUUUUCCUGUUUUGUCUUGCAUAAUUGCUUUUUCAAGCUUCCCCUGACUUGUAGAGACAGAGUCAGGGUUGUUAUCUCACAGAAAUGUGGAUCUUUUGAAGUUUUGUUUUUUUAACUUUGAAUAAUUUUAAAUAUAAGACCUGCAUGACAUUGCAUUUUACAUCCAGUCAAGUAAUAGAAAAAGGAAAAUUUAGUUUUUUGAGACUUUUUUUUUGGUUUAAAAAAGGUAGUCAGCCUAAAGCUUUACAAGCUGAAUUUCUGCAUGCUAAUUGAAGCCAUCUACCAAUAUUUCCAAGGGUUUGCUCUGCUUGUUCUAUUGUAAUGCAAACAGAAGGGCCAUGAGAGUGCAGAGGGAGUGGAUUUGAACAAUGAUGAGAGCACACGCAAUAAGACACAGGACAGCUGUCAGGGUGAGGGAGAGCUGAAUUACAGAUUACGGACUGGUUUUACCAAAACUGAGCUCAUGUGAAACAAACUGCAAUUCAGAUGACUGAUCCCCGUCUACAGCAACUAACACAGAAUCAUAUUUCAGGUCAAAGAAAUUCAGAUUUUACUUUCCUGUAAUAUUUUUGAGCUAUUUCUUUCGUUCUGUUUAUGCUGCCUGGGAUUUAGCUAAGCACAAAGUGUUUAUGCAACCACCUAAAUCCACUUGAAAUUUUUGAAAGGACACAUGUGCUUCACUUUAAAGAGCAGUCAUCUAAAAUCUAAUGGGCUGUGAAUGUUCUGCCUCAUUCGGUCUAUUAAUUGUUGCUUGAAGGGCUAAUGGUUGUUUCCUUACCAAUGCAUCGGCUGACAAUUAAUAUGAUUCAUUCCUAACUUGGUUUUAACCUCUAAAAUACUAGGAACAUUAAAAAUGGUUGCCCAGCAGAGUCUGGUCCUACUGCUUGAUUUGUUUUAAACAUGUUUUGGGGGCAUUUUUCUAAAAAUGGAGGAUAUAUAUUAGCAUUUCUGAGUAAAUCUUAAUUCAAAGGAUGAAUCCAAGCAGACAAAAAAAAAAUGCUGUUUGAAAAAAAGAUUGUAUUUGUGUUGUUGAAAAUACACUGGGUAGGUGUACAGCUGGAUAGCUCAAAUAUUGCUCGCCAUUUUUGCACAGGGAAUGAUAGGUUGCAGUUGUAAAGGAUGGUUAGCUGGCAGGGGAGCAUGAAAACAGAAAACUCUCAGUUAUGGGUGAGGGGAAGGUGGUCUCGUCAGUCGCUUCGCCCACAACUCGGAGGCGAUUGACGGGCGAUCAACAAAUUCUAGUAGCCACAAAAUGACCACAAGGUUUACUUGCCUGCGAACUCUUUAAAACCCAGGGUUAAUAAUUGCAGCAAAGCUGAACACGUGUUUUUACACAAUGAGGAAAAAGCCAAGCCAGACUGCUCUGCGUCUAAGCCAGCACACCUAACCUCUCAGUGCUCGAAAAACACAGAAAAGGCUUUUAUUGGUGCAAAGCUUCUCCCUGCUGCCAAGUUUUCCUUGUGCUGUGGCUUAGCCCAAAAGCGGCGUAAAGGAUGCAUGCGUCUUUUUAUUUUAUUUUCAGCCUCCUGCCUCCGUUUGUUUCCUCCUCCAGUACAUCAUUCCUUUGGGUGUUUGUGCGGUGUCCCCUAGUUACUGGAUGAGAGACCAUGCAGCUCAGAGAGUUAAAAGCCUGCCCUGUCCCACUCAUAGGAACAAGACCAUCAAUAAUUCACCUUCAUCGGGAAGCAUUAUCUAACAGCCUUAUAAAAUUUUAAAGAUUGUGGGUGACAACAUGGAACCAUGAAGAAAGUGCUUCGUAAGAGAACACUCCAGGUAGCAGCAAUGCUGGAAACAGAUAUAUGAAAGUGGAGCCUGCAGUGACUGGUUACCGAUAAAAAAGACAGACACCUCUUUGAGGUAAAAGACGGCCUGCUCUUUGUUUCUGCACGCCGUCUGCGUGGCCGGAGGUGCAGACGUUUGCUCGGCUGUAUUAGCGCCCAGGCUCAUUCUCACUGACAAUAAAAUCCCUCUAAACCAAGAUCAAUUACUCCCAGCUCUGCUGUAAUUAAAAUGUCCUAACAAAGGUCUGAGGACAGAAACCGACCCAUUGAAAAUAAGAUCAGUCAGAUCCCGAGUGAUAUCCGCAAGAAACAAAAAGAAGGGGGGGCAACGAGCCCAUAAAACAGCAGCGUCUACGCAUGACUGUGUGGUUUAAACCAAUUCUGCUUCAUCCUGCAACAAGGUCAAGAAAUGUUUUAGGUUAAAGCACAAGCGGCCACAUGAAACCCAGAUAUGUUGCUGUUUUUAAUCAGCGCCGAAUAAAACACUCAUUCAUCUAUACAAUAAAAAAAAAACUCAGUUCAUUACUGCAGCCACAGCUACUAAGGCAUCAAAUUAUUAUUUUUUUUGUGAUCUGAUGCUUGACUAUGCUCUAUAGAAGAAUGACAGAAUGCUUAUGAGACUCCUAAUUAAAACUCAGCAGUGGAGUGAUUAGCAAUCACAACUGCACUCUUCAAAUAUCAAGAUCUGAUUUGGUUGGCUGAUCAACAACAAGGUUCCUUCUCUCGCUGCAACACACAGAGCACGCACUCCCUUUUUCGCCACACUAAAGAUGCCUUUGAAGUGGCGGAAAUCAGCACAACUCUGCAAGAAAAGGCCCAGCUGAGUUUCCACUUCUAUGUUGGCUUUUUUACUUUUCCCUUUUUUUAUUCCUCUCUGCCAGAGUGCCAUUUAUGUUGCAACACUUUUCUUUGGUUUAAUGCUGCCAGUGAUCACUAAACAGAUUAUACGCUGACACUGAUGAACGCUUCACCGUUUCAGUUUCUGCAGGACGAUUCAUCAUAGUAUUACGCUAAAGUAUAAAACAUCAAUAAUAUUACUUAUGGCAACUACCAAAAUGAGACCUGAAGGCUGCUCCCUUGUAGCACCGACAGGAGACUAUCCCAGACAUCAAGAGCGAGCAAGAUGGCUGACUUUACUGACACACAGUGAAAGCACGCUCCAUCCUGGGUAAUAGAUUCUUUUUUGUACUGCGACUCCUCUUCCUCCUUAUCCUCAGUGACAAUGCCUGCCAGUCAAAGCCCAGGGAACGUUCAAGGGCUUUUACAACAUCUCCUCACCUUGAAAAUAGAUUGGCUUCAUCACAAGGUACCGACUGACAACAAAUAGACAUCAAAUGGCUAUUAGGAAUGGCAGCCCAAUAGCCUGCAGAUUACAGGUGUUCUUGUGUGUUUUUUUUCUGCAUCUUCUUAAUGCACACAACAGCUCUGCAAAACUGGCAUUUGAAGCAUUCUCUCUAUACAUAAAGACACAACAAGAACCAGAUGCCGUGGGAGGUGACAUUUAAGUGUUGCAUGAGAGUGCUAAACGCAGAAGGGUUUUAUGAUUAUUGGAAAGACUCUGCAGAAAACUAGGGUGAGUGAAGGGGGCCUCAAUGUAGUGUUUAAUUCAACCUUUAAAGCUGUUUUGCAAGUGGCAAAAUGUGUCUGUGUCGUUCACAUGGAAGCACUUAAUAGAAAAAGCGAGGCUGUCCAUCACGUGCAACAGCCCUGCAGAUUACUCAUUUAGACGAUAAAAGAUGAGUGCAGGCCUGUGCCAGUUCCUUUAUUUUCAAUUCAUUGAG